GGAUGAACGCUGGCGGCGUGCCUAAUACAUGCAAGUCGAGCGAACUGAUUAGAAGCUUGCUUCUAUGACGUUAGCGGCGGACGGGUGAGUAACACGYGGGCAACCUGCCUGUAAGACUGGGAUAACUUCGGGAAACCGAAGCUAAUACCGGAUAGGAUCUUCUCCUUCAUGGGAGAUGAUUGAAAGAUGGUUUCGGCUAUCACUUACAGAUGGGCCCGCGGUGCAUUAGCUAGUUGGUGAGGUAACGGCUCACCAAGGCAACGAUGCAUAGCCGACCUGAGAGGGUGAUCGGCCACACUGGGACUGAGACACGGCCCAGACUCCUACGGGAGGCAGCAGUAGGGAAUCUUCCGCAAUGGACGAAAGUCUGACGGAGCAACGCCGCGUGAGUGAUGAAGGCUUUCGGGUCGUAAAACUCUGUUGUUAGGGAAGAACAAGUACRAGAGUAACUGCUYGUACCUUGACGGUACCUAACCAGAAAGCCACGGCUAACUACGUGC
rnacentral:rRNA from 2 species